GGGGGUAUAGCUCAGUGGUAGAGCACUUUCUUGGUAUGUGUGAGGCCCUGGGUUCAAGCUCCAGCACCCCAU
rfam:Ictidomys tridecemlineatus contig046797, whole genome shotgun sequence.